rnacentral:rRNA from 1 species
CCUACGGGUGGCAGCAGUGGGGAAUAUUGGACAAUGGGCGAAAGCCUGAUCCAGCCAUGCCGCGUGUGUGAAGAAGGCCUUCGGGUUGUAAAGCACUUUCAGUGGGGAAGAAAGCCUUGGGGCUAAUACCCUCGAGGAAGGACAUCACCCACAGAAGAAGCACCGGCUAACUCCGUGCCAGCAGCCGCGGUAAUACGGAGGGUGCGAGCGUUAAUCGGAAUUACUGGGCGUAAAGCGCGCGUAGGCGGUCUGAUAAGCCGGUUGUGAAAGCCCCGGGCUCAACCUGGGAACGGCAUCCGGAACUGUCAGGCUUGAGUGCAGGAGAGGAAGGUAGAAUUCCCGGUGUAGCGGUGAAAUGCGUAGAGAUCGGGAGGAAUACCAGUGGCGAAGGCGGCCUUCUGGACUGACACUGACGCUGAGGUGCGAAAGCGUGGGUAGCAAACAGGAUUAGAUACCCGUGUAGUC